rnacentral:rRNA from 1 species
AAUGAACGCUGGCGGCAUGCCUAACACAUGCAAGUCGAACGAAGCCUUCGGGCUUAGUGGCGCACGGGUGCGUAACGCGUGGGAAUCUGCCCUUGGGUUCGGAAUAACAGUUAGAAAUGACUGCUAAUACCGAAUGAUGUCGUAAGACCAAAGAUUUAUCGCCCAGGGAUGAGCCCGCGUAGGAUUAGCUAGUUGGUGUGGUAAAGGCGCACCAAGGCGACGAUCCUUAGCUGGUCUGAGAGGAUGAUCAGCCACACUGGGACUGAGACACGGGCCCAGACUCCUACGGGAGGCAGCAGUGGGGAAUAUUGGACAAUGGGCGAAAGCCUGAUCCAGCAAUGCCGCGUGAGUGAUGAAGGCCUUAGGGUUGUAAAGCUCUUUUACCCGGGAUGAUAAUGACAGUACCGGGAGAAUAAGCUCCGGCUAACUCCGUGCCAGCAGCCGCGGUAAU